AUGGGGAACAAGAUCGCGCAGACGACGCAUGCAUCGGCAACGGAGUACUACCUGCAGGACCUGCCCUCCACCUACAACCUCGUGCUGCUCGACCUCGUCAGCCGCGGCCGCUUCCUCAAGUCCGUCCUCUGCAAGCACGACGAGGGCCUCCUCCUCGUCAAGGUCUACUUGAAGCACGCCGGCGAGCCGCUCGACCUCAAGGACCAUGAGCGGAGGCUGGAGCGGAUCCGGAGGGCGUUCCAGGGCCUCGAGGGCUCCCAUGUCUGGCCCUUCCAGGUUAGGGCCUCCUUGUGCUAUUUCUUCCCCAUGAAAAUUACUAGGAAUAACCCCGGACCUGUUUAUCAAUGCGUUAUUUCGUGA
rnacentral:rRNA from 1 species